rnacentral:tRNA from 1 species
GCGGGCGUGGCGGAAUGGUAGACGCGCAAGACUAAGGAUCUUGUGAUCGAUUUUAGAUCAUGGAAGUUCGAGCCUUCUCGCCCGCA